GGAAUCUGCCUAUUAGUGGGGGACAACAUUCCGAAAGGAAUGCUAAUACCGCAUACGUCCUACGGGAGAAAGCAGGGGACCUUCGGGCCUUGCGCUAAUAGAUGAGCCUAAGUCGGAUUAGCUAGUUGGUGGGGUAAAGGCCUACCAAGGCGACGAUCUGUAGCGGGUCUGAGAGGAUGAUCCGCCACACUGGGACUGAGACACGGCCCAGACUCCUACGGGAGGCAGCAGUGGGGAAUAUUGGACAAUGGGGGGAACCCUGAUCCAGCCAUGCCGCGUGUGUGAAGAAGGCCUUAUGGUUGUAAAGCACUUUAAGCGAGGAGGAGGCUACUAGUAUUAAUACUACUGGAUAGUGGACGUUACUCGCAGAAUAAGCACCGGCUAACUCUGUGCCAGCAGCCGCGGUAAUACAGAGGGUGCGAGCGUUAAUCGGAUUUACUGGGCGUAAAGCGUGCGUAGGCGGCCAUUUAAGUCAAAUGUGAAAUCCCCGAGCUUAACUUGGGAAUUGCAUUCGAUACUGGAUGGCUAGAGUAUGGGAGAGGAUGGUAGAAUUCCAGUGUAGCGGUGAAAUGCGUAGAGAUCUGGAGGAAUACCGAUGGCGAAGCAGCCAUCUGGCCUAUACUGACGCUGAGUACGAAAGCA
rnacentral:rRNA from 1 species